CGACCGGCGCACGGGUGAGUAACGCGUAUGCAACCUGCCCGAUACCGAGGUAUAGCCCAUGGAAACGUGGAUUAACACCCCAUAGUACUUUUAUCCUGCCUGGGAUGUGAGUUAAAUGUUCAAGGUAUCGGAUGGGCAUGCGUCCUAUUAGUUAGUUGGCGGGGUAACAGCCCACCAAGACGAUGAUAGGUAGGGGUUCUGAGAGGAAGGUCCCCCACAUUGGAACUGAGACACGGUCCAA
rnacentral:rRNA from 1 species